GAUGAACGCUGGCGGCGUGCCUAAUACAUGCAAGUCGAGCGAACAGACGAGGAGCUUGCUCCUCUGACGUUAACGGCGGACGGGUGAGUAACACGUGGAUAACCUACCUAUAAGACUGGGAUAACUUCGGGAAACCGGAGCUAAUACCGGAUAAUAUAUUGAACCGCAUGGUUCAAUAGUGAAAGACGGUUUUGCUGUCACUUAUAGAUGGAUCCGCGCCGCAUUAGCUAGUUGGUAAGGUAACGGCUUACCAAGGCAAUGAUGCGUAGCCGACCUGAGAGGGUGAUCGGCCACACUGGAACUGAGACACGGUCCAGACUCCUACGGGAGGCAGCAGUAGGGAAUCUUCCGCAAUGGGCGAAAGCCUGACGGAGCAACGCCGCGUGAGUGAUGAAGGUCUUCGGAUCGUAAAACUCUGUUAUUAGGGAAGAACAAAUGUGUAAGUAACUAUGCACGUCUUGACGGUACCUAAUCAGAAAGCCACGGCUAACUACGUG
rnacentral:rRNA from 1 species